AACGCUCCGGCGAGCGCGCGAGCGCGAGCGAGCGAUGCCCAAGAGAGCGGGUGAGGCCGGCUCGGUCCACUCGAACGCUGGACGCCGUUGAGCACACCACCACCGCAAGGCGCUGCUGCUGCAGCCCCCCCCCCCCCCCCGCCCCCUCUCGCUCUCUCGCCUAAGUUGCAUGGCCCCGGCAUCCAGCGGCCGUGCCCGGACAGGUCUCUGGCCGCUGCUUCUUGCAUGGGAAAAGAAGCAGCGACGGCGGGACGCCAGCCUCCACCGCCAGGGGUGGUGGAGGGAAGCAGCUUCUUCGAGCAAGCUUCCAGAAGCCGACGACCUCCGUGGGUUUAGCCGACCCGACCGAACGGCCGGCCGACGGGACCGGCUAGCCGGUCCGGUGGCGAACCGUACGCCCACCUGCUACUUCUGUGGGGGCUACCGUCGUCUCUCGUGUCCUCUUCCGGCUUCCAGAAGAAAAGAACUCCGUCACCUUCGAGAAACGAACAGCAGGCCACUGCAAUCGACUGGAAGCGUCACAAACCUCCCGAUCCAAGCCACUGCGUUAACAAAAUUAAAUUAUUUAAAUUCUGGGGGUUUUUAGGUGUCAGAACCACAUUCCGAUUAUGAGGCACGCCGUAGUGGGGUAGUCUGGAAUAACUUUGACCACCUGGGGUUCUUUAACGCGCACCCAAGUCUAAGUACACAAGCGAUUUUGUAUAUCGCGGCCCUCAAAAUGCGGCCGCCACGACAGGGAUCGAACCCGGGACCUCGAGCUCAACAGAGCAACGCCGUGGCCACUGGGCAUCGCGCCGGGCAGCACCCCCACAAAGCAAACAUACAAUCGGGCCACGGAAAAACACCGGGAAGCCUAAACGUUCUUUCUAUUGAAUUGUUCGAAUAAUACGAAAAUGGAAACAGCGGCAAAUGCCUCACUCGAACGCGUUCCUGGUUAUUUGCGCUUGUGUACUAAGAUGGAGCACUGGGAGUGAUAAACAGCGUCAGUGCCGGCCACAGUUGAACAGCACCGAGCAGCGGUGGCGACAUAGUUGACGACUCCAAUCAAGGCUGACCUCAUCGAGACAGUCCUGAGCCCCGAGGUUUCCAUGGCGCAUCCGCCCUGCACAGUUCUGUCGGCAAUGCCCAUGGAAACCCCGAAGUUCUCGGCCAAGCCUACCAGAACAUCAGCCACCGCCACACACCGAGUCUCGACCCCGCAUGGUGCCGCCUCUUUAUUUUCACAGUGGCAAGACGAUGAGGGCCGUCGAAGACGGGAGCACCGGUCUCAGAAGUUGAGCGACAGCCUCAAGGAAAAAUAAAGCUGAAUUGAACUGAA